rnacentral:rRNA from 1 species
CCUACGGGAGGCAGCAGUGAGGAAUAUUGGACAAUGGGUGAGAGCCUGAUCCAGCCAUCCCGCGUGAAGGAUGACGGUCCUACGGAUUGCAAACUUCUUUUGUAUAGGGAUAAACCCAGAUACGUGUAUCUGGCUGAAGGUACUAUACGAAUAAGCACCGGCUAACUCCGUGCCAGCAGCCGCGGUAAUACGGAGGGUGCAAGC